GGAUCAGUAGCUCAGCUGGAUAGAGCAUUAGCCUUCUAAGCUAACGGUCGCAGGUUCGAAUCCUGCCUGAUUCACUA
rnacentral:tRNA from 1 species